UGUGGUGUUAUAGUGUAAUACAGUAUUACAGUACCUGUGGUGUUAGUGUUAUACAGUACUACAGUACCUGUGGUGUUUGUGUUACACAGUACUACAGUACCUGUGGUGUUAGUGUUAUACAGUAUUAUAGUAUCUGUGGUGUUAUCGUGUUAUACAGUAUUACAGUACCUGUGGUGUUAGUGUUAUCCAGUAUUACAGUACCUGUGGUGUUAGUGUUAUACAGUAUUAUAGUAUCUGUGGUGUUAUCGUGUUAUACAGUAUUACAGUACCUGUGGUGUUAGUGUUAUACAGUAUUACAGUACCUGUGGUGUUAUACGGUAUUACAGUACUACAGUACCUGUGGUGUUAUACGGUAUUACAGUACCUGUGGUGUUAUAGUGUUAUACAGUAUUACAGUACCUGUGGUGUUAUAGUGUUAUAGACUAUUACAGUACCUGUGGUGUUAUAGUGUAAUACAGUAUUACAGUACCUGUGGUGUUAGUUUUACACGGUACUACAGUACCUGUGGUGUUAUAGUGUUAUACAGUAUUACAGUACCUGUGGUGUUAUACGGUAUUGCAGGACCUGUGGUGUUAUAGUGUUAUAGAGUAUUACAGUACCUGUGGUGUUAUAGUGUAAUACAGUAUUACAGUACCUGUGGUGUUAGUGUUAUACACUAUUACAGUACCUGUGGUGUUAUACGGUAUACAGUAUUACAGAACCUGUGGUGUUAUAGUGUAAUACAGUAUUACAGUAACUGUGGUGUUAUAGUGUUAUACAGUACUACAGUACCUGUGGUGUUAUAGUGUUAUACAGUAUUACAGAACCUGUGGUGUUAGUGUUAUACAGUACUACAGUACCUUUGGUGUUAUAGUGUUAUACAGUAUUACAGUACCUGUGGUGUUAUACGGUAUUACAGUACUACAGUACCUGUGGUGUUAUACGGUAUUACAGUACCUGUGGUGUUAUAGUGUAAUACAGUAUUACAGUAACUGUGGUGUUAUAGUGUUAUACAGUACUACAUACCUGUGGUGUUAUAGUGUUAUACAGUACUACAGUACCUGUGGUGUUAUACGGUAUUACAGUACCUGUGGUGUUAGUGUUAUACAGUAUUACAGUACCUGUGGUGUUAUAGUGUUAUA
rnacentral:lncRNA from 1 species